rnacentral:rRNA from 1 species
GACGAACGCUGGCGGCGUGCUUAACACAUGCAAGUCGAACGGAAAGGCCCUGCUUUUGUGGGGUGCUCGAGUGGCGAACGGGUGAGUAACACGUGAGUAACCUGCCCUUGACUUUGGGAUAACUUCAGGAAACUGGGGCUAAUACCGGAUAGGAGCUCCUGCUGCAUGGUGGGGGUUGGAAAGUUUCGGCGGUUGGGGAUGGACUCGCGGCUUAUCAGCUUGUUGGUGGGGUAGUGGCUUACCAAGGCUUUGACGGGUAGCCGGCCUGAGAGGGUGACCGGACAAAUUGGGACUGAGAUACGGCCCAGACUCCUACGGGAGGCAGCAGUGGGGAAUAUUGCACAAUGGGCGGAAGCCUGAUGCAGCAACGCCGCGUGCGGGAUGACGGCCUUCGGGUUGUAAACCGCUUUCGCCUGUGACGAAGCGUGAGUGACGGUAAUGGGUAAAGAAGCACCGGCUAACUACGUG